CCUCCCCCAGACGCACAGGGGCGCCAUCCUGGCCACUGCUAAGUUCCAUCACCUCCACAUCACCCCAUGGCCACAGCACCCACUCCAUCACCAGCCAGGGAGGCCCUCCACUCCCAGUGACCCUCAGCUGUCCCCUGUCUCAUGUCAUGAACUUUGAGGGCCUGCCCUACCUCCCACCAAACCGGGCGUCCCUGGAGGACACCUCGCAGGGAGGGCAACGAGCACAGGCUCCAGGUUCGCAGGGCCCUGGGUUCAAACCCUGGCCUAUGUGCCCUCAGAAAGCUGCCACCCUCCCAGCACCUGCGCCCCUCUGUGAAGUAGGAGGAAUGCCCCCCUCGGGGGGCCCUCCAGGACCAGUUCAACGGACCCCAUCUCUUGUCAAAGAAAAUGUGCAAAGUCACAUAGCCAGAGCAUGUGCAGAACAGGAAAUCUUGACCUGAAGUGACCAUGGAACCACAGAUCCUCCUGCCCACGGAACCCGACACGACCGGAACUUGAAAGUCGGACUCUCAUCCGAAGCAGGGGGUCCCUCGUUCAGAAGAUCCGGUGUUAAAACUCCUUCCCCAGCUCAUCAAAAAUGUUUAGAACCCUGUCGUAAAUGUUAAAACCUUACCAUAAAAGUUUAGAACCUUACCAUAAAAGCCUGAAGCCCAGCAAUCAAAGCCGGCCCGCCAGCAUUUCCGCGUCCAGCCUGUCCUCGCCGAUCUCUUCAGCUUCACCCCAAAUCCUGAAGUGGGGAGACAGACCUGAGGACACACACCCCCUGUCCCCCUGCAGAUCCAUCUCGCAGCAUAAAGCUGAUCUCUUUUCCCAAAGGCUGAUGCUGUGAUUAACUGGCUGUUUAUCGGCAUCGGGCAGAGAACCCCAAUUUUGUGCAGUAACCUUGUGACUGACGUGAGCGCAGAGGCCCCUGCAGAACAGAGAGAACUCCAGAAGGCGGCCAUCCGUGCCGAGCUUCCCACGGUGCCAGGAACACGACCGCAGCGGGAAGCAUCCUGGUGGCACUGGAUCAAAUGGGGGACACUGAGGCCCGCCGGGCCACGACAGGACUUGCCCGUGUGGGUUCUGCAGUCCCAGCAGAUGGUGGCAGUGGCCCCUUGUGGCCUCUCACCCUCCACUCUGGCAUCCUCCCAAAGGACCCAGAUAGAUCUCAGGGUUUCUCCCAGGGCUUCACAUCCGAAACCAAUCAGCGCAAAUCCCAUAUGAAGAGAUUACAGGACAAAAGGCAUAUAAUUUUCCCAGGUGAUGCAGAGAGAGCAUUUCAUGCAACUUAACACCUAUUUGCGACUUUUUAAAAAAAAUCUCUCAGUGGGGGCCGACCCGGUGGCAUAGUGUUUAAGUUUGCGUGCUCCAUUUUGUGGGCCCAAGGUUCCUGGGUUCAGAUCCUGGGCACAGACCUGCACACCGCUCAUCAAACCACGCUGCGGUGGCAUCCCACGUACAUAAUAGAGAAAGAUUGGCAACAGAUGUUAGCUCAGGGCUAAUCUUCCUCACCAAAAAAAAAAAAAAAAAGAGCCAUCAAUGCCUUUAAAAAAAUAAAUAAGUAAACAAAAACCAUUUAAGAGGUCAGAGCAUGGACGGAAUGCAGACUAUGCGGAGAGAAUCUGACCAUAUCGCUGACGUAUGAAACCACCUCACGGAAGCGGGUGGAGGGGAGGGAUGCUGACCUCAAUAACUUUGGAGACGAGUGGAAACCAGACUAUCAACCAAAGACUGAAGACUGCAAAACUAAAAGAAAAAGAGUCCACAGCACGGUGGUUUCCCGCGGGGACACAGGUUCACGGCUCUGAAGCCACGAUCCACGUACACUGGAGUUUGACCACUGAGUGAGGACGGGGUCGGGUGGAGCCAGGUUUCCACUGCUGGAGACUAGAAUGGCCGUGCGGCGAGGGGUUCGAGUGGAGACAUCAGCGUGAACUCGUGUUCAGCUAAACAUAGACAGAUGGUCACGUAUAGAAAUACGCAUAGCGGUGUGUCUGCACGAGUUAGUCCACACACACACACACACACACACACACACACACUUCCUUCUCUGCCAGCUGAGGAGAGUGGAAGCAACAACACCGCAGCAGCAACAGGCACGGCUAGUGCCCAGAUUUCGGUUCUAGAGGAUUUUCCAAUAAAAGGAACCAGGGAUCCCCGGAGAAAUGGCUGAUCCAGAGCUGGGGCAGGAAAUACACAGGAGGAGCCCGGAGCUUCUUGUAGGGCCAGAAAGUAACAAAGCGCUCAACAAACACCCACAACGAUGGGGCACAUCAGAGGACAUGGGGGCGAAGGGAAGGGGCUCCCCUUGGCCAAGGCUGGGACAACCUGAACAACAAAAUAACAUGGUAUUGGGUUAUAACUCAAAGUGUAAAAUAAUUAGCCAUGGUCCAUAAGGAUAUAAAUAAACGAUUGAAUAAAUAAAUAAUGGGGGCAGAGAGACAAAUCUCCCUGAAGAAGAAACCAAAUAAGUUAUGCUGAUGCUCCGCCCUCGCUCGAGGAGGUGGGCACAACUCCCGACUCCUUAGGUGUGGGCUGGGCAGCGACUUCCCUCCAAAGGGACAGUGUGGAAAUGAGUCCCUUUACAGAGGGGGAACUUGACAGCACAAGGCAGCCAGGUGAUCCAGGGCAACGUCCACAGUGAUAGGUCAAGAGGAUACGACGAGCAGGUGAUGAAAUGGCACGUCACCUCUGUGGUCUUCCUCCCCAAAACCUGUGACCCCAGUGUAAUCACGAGGAAAACAAGGACAAACCCCAACUGUGGGACAUUCUCCCAACACCUGAGCCGUCCUCCUCGGAACCAUCGAGGUCGAGCCAGGUCUGAGAAAGAGUGUCCGCGUGAGAACCCUAGGGUGGCGUGGCAUACUGGACGGGUCCUGACUCAGGCUCCCGGCCGGGGGACAGGGCAGAGGGGCGCAGAGAAGGACAGGGAAGCCGGCAGCCUGGCCCCGCUCACCUAAUAGGGUCUCUAGGGUUUAGUCUAAGCUCACAAAGGAAACGGACGCUUCAUUCCAGGUCACACUUGCCUGGUUUCAGAGUCCAGAUUCAUUCUGGCCUCAGGAAAUGAGCUGGGCAAACUGUUGGCGGCUGUUUUGCCUUCCAUGUUCAGAAACAAUUUGUGUAAGAAAAGACUUCACUAUUCCUUUAAAGUUUGGCAGCGUCACCAGUGAACGCGGCCGGGCCUGGCUGGGUCUUUUGGGCGGGGUCUGACUGCCUUUUCCAUUUCUUCACUACUUGUUGGUCUAUUCAAGGUCCCUGUUUGUUCUUGAGCCAAUUUUAGUAUUUUAUAUUUUGCAAGGAAUUUACCCAUUUCAUCUAGGUUUUCAGGUUUAUCCCAUGAAAUAGUAGUAUUGUGCAUUGUCCUCCCAUGAUUUUUAAUCUAGUGUAUUUGCAAAGGGGUUCCUGGACCCAACUCCAGCAUGUGUGUGUGAAGGUUUCUCCACACCAGCAAGCUCUUCUCAGGUGACAACAGAGUGGCCGAGGCUUCAGCUCAGUUCUGACACUCUCAGUCCCACAAGACCGCCCUCCACUUUAGAUACCAGUCCAGGUGGUUUCCUGUGCUUCUGACCUCCUGGGGACAAACUGAGGUUCUGAUGACUCCCUCUGACUCGGAGCCGUUCGCAAGUCCAGGCUGCUGCCUGUCCUUCUGACCAACUGCCCGUAAAUCAGAAGUUCCCAGGACCCCCUCCUCGGGUUGUGUUGAUUGGCUCACAAAACUCAAGAAAACCCGUCUACUCACUAGAUUACCUAUUUAUUACAAAGGAUAUUAAAGGAUAGGGAUCAACAGCCGGAUGGAGAGACACAUAGGGCAAGGUCCAGAACAAAGGAGCGUCUGCCUCGUGGAGCCUGGGGCCUGGCAUGGUGGCACCUGGAAGCUUUCUGGUUCCUCUGAAAAGAAGGACCAACGGAGGUUUUUAUGGAGGCUUCCAGAUUGACGAAGUCGUUGGACAUUGGCAGUUGACUCAGCCUCGAGUCCCCCUCCUUCUCUGGAAAUCAGGGAGUAGGACUGAAAGUUCCGAUCCUCUGAUCACAUGGCUGGUUCUGCUGGCAACUGGCCCCCACCCUUGGAUGGAGUCCGAAAGUCACCUUCAUUAACGAAAACAAGAAAUUUCAAGGAUUUUGGGAGCUGUGAGGCAGGAACUGUGGAUGAAGACCACACUUAUGUGAGAAAUAUAUUUUAGUCACCUAAAUGACUAAAUAUAUGUAUUUCUUUUUUUUUAAUAAAUG
rnacentral:lncRNA from 1 species